rnacentral:rRNA from 1 species
GUUCCCAUCCCGAACACGGAAGUUAAGCUCUCCAGCGCCGAUGGUAGUUGGCGGGACACCGCCUGCGAGAGUAGGACGUUGCCGGGC